AGAUUUCCGAAUUCCAAAACUUUUAAUAUAGUUUAAUAGUGAAUUUUUCAGUUUGCUAAAACGCGCGCUGCAUUUUGCAGAAUUAUUACUUUUGGGCCUAUUAUAAUUAUACGGAGUUUAAACGCAAGUGUUUCGAUGGUCAUGCCCUUGGAGCGCAAUUGAACAUGUUACGGUUUGAUUAUUAAUGCGAUCUAUAUUUCUGUACCGAGAAUGGUAUACGUUCGCAUAUUUUUAUCGGGAAACAAAAUAUACGAAUGGAGGGAAAUUUAAAUAUUUGAAAUACAUUUGUAGAAUGAUUAACACUAGUUAUUUGCAUCAUGAAUUUAUUUGAAAUAUCUAGUACCUCUAAUUCUUAUGACCUAUAUAUACAGAUGAUAAUGUGAUAAAGUAUAAUACACGCAUCAUUUAAACAUGUGUUAACAAAUAAAUGCUCUAUACUAAAAGUAAUUAAGUUCCAAUUGUUUGGACUGGGUCCACAAAUUUCUGUUCGUCCAUAUUUUUCUUCCCUUUUUAUUUAAAAAUACAAUACAUAUAAUACACCGUUUUGAUGGUCUUAAUUUUUGUAACGCAAAGUAAUCGACGAUGAAUUGUUGUAUCAAAAUAAUUCAAGAAAUUCUUGAAAAUUGAAUACGAAUCGUGCAAUUCAUAUUCACGUGACUGCGGUAUACAUUUUCACAAUACUUCAGUGUUCUUAUAUUACAACAACCAGUACGCAAAAUGACUAACAAAAUUAACUUUACUAAUUUUUCAUUGUAUUUAUUAAAUAAAAUAAAAUAUCACAUAAUACUAUAACGCGUUACACUUGAAAUCAACGUGAUAAUCACCGCCAUGUUUAAUUUUCUUUUACAAAAAUAUAAAAAUUAAAAUCUAGCAGUUAUAAAAUGUAAAUAAUAAUGAUUAUUUUACAUUAUUAUUGCACAGACUUUAUUCUUUCACUAAAUACUUUUCUGGAUGAAUUUCUUGUGUUAUUUUGUUAAUAAAUGUUAGAAAAUGGUAGACACCAGUCCGUAGAAAUAUAAUCUUUCAACGGCGAUAAAAAUGAAGAUAUAUAAUACAAUGAUAUGACAAAAUGUAAGUUAUAAAUAACAAAAUAUACCAUUUUCCACCGUAACAGGAUGCCUAAGCCUUUCUUCUUUUAUGGAAAAAUCCAUGAUGGUCAACAUUAAGUUAUUACUAGAAUUAUUUUCAUACAUAUACAUAUAUAUACAUACCGUUUUCGCAUUAUACUUAUUUAGUUCUUUUCUUUAAUGUAAUAGUAAUAGCGAAAGUGAAAGUUAGUCAGUCAAUAAUACUAAUUUAAGCCUCUCUUUUUUUUGUUUUUCAUUUUGAGAAUACAGGACCAGUUGAGACUGCGUAACUCAUUACACCAAUGUAGGACAAUCAUUUCCCUUAAUCACAUCCUAUUAUAUUUGUCUUGGACAAAGGAAUGGAAAAACAUUUAUCAAAUGUUUUUGUACCUAUGUGAAGAACGGAAGACCAUCUCAGGGUAUAAAUUCUACAAUGUGUCAGUUUCUUUUUUUCGACGAAGUACUAAUUUUUUUUUGAAGCUAUUACAUCUUCUUUACAAUAAGAUUUGAUAUUAACAAAUCCAUGAGAUAUGUUUGUUUUAAUUGAAUACUUAAAAAACAAAUAAUAAGAUUUUGUUACCUCAACUAAGUUAUUUGAAUUUUCCGGAUAAUUAAUAUUUAAACAAACAUAAAAACAAAGCGAACAAAACAUUUAUAAACACCGAUUAUACAUAUCUCAUUAGCUGUUAAUGUGCCAUAUCUUUUAUGGUACUCUAAACUGAAUUAUUCCUUUUUCCUUUGUUAUUGACUUAGAUAGUUAUAUACUGACAAUAUCUGAACAAAAAUACCUGCAUCUCUGUGUACGGUGAUUUUAGAAAAUAGAACUUUCCAACAUUCAAAACAGAAUGUUUUACCUAAGUUUCGCUAAACUGGGUUAAACCAUUGUCGUGAAUUAGUAACAUUUUUAAAUUAUUUUGCAGCAGUUAUGAAGAUACGUAUUAGUAAUAGCUAGGAACUUGAAGAAGCAUUACUUCCUUUUAGAAUAUACAAAUGCCAAAUUUAUUUGAUAUUCAUUUGUCGUGUAAUGUAGGUAAAUUUUAAACACCUACGGCAUCUCAUAUCCAUUGAUACAACCACUUUCUUUCUCCGAAUCACAUUUAAGAUUAAAACUUUCAUUUUAUUUACACAGAAAUACUACACGUAAGAUACUCUGUAGCAGAGGUAGAAAAA